rnacentral:rRNA from 1 species
AAUGAACGUUGGCGGCAUGGAUUAGGCAUGCAAGUCGAGCGAGAAGUGUAGCAAUACACGGAAAGCGGCGGAAGGGAGAGUAAUACGUGGGAAUCUGCCCUUAGACCUGGGAUAGCAGCGGGAAACUGCUGGUAAUACCAGAUAAUGUCUAUGGACCAAAGGUGUGAUUCCGUCUAGGGAUGAGCCCACGUCCUAUUAGCUAGUUGGUAGGGUAAUGGCCUACCAAGGCGAUGAUGGGUAGCGGGUGUGAGAGCAUGGCCCGUCUCACUGGGACUGAGACACUGCCCAGACACCUACGGGUGGCUGCAGUCGAGAAUCUUCGGCAAUGGGCGAAAGCCUAACCGAGCGAUGCCGCGUGCGGGAUGAAGGCCCUCGGGUUGUAAACCGCUGUCGUAGGGGAGGAAGGUUCCGUGAAGAGCGGGACUUGACCUAUCCUAGGAGGAAGUACGGGCUAAGUUCGUGCCAGCCGCCGCAGUAAAAC